rnacentral:rRNA from 1 species
CGGGACGGGUGAGUGACGCGUGGGUAACCUGCCUCAUACAGGGGGAUAACAGUUAGAAAUGGCUGCUAAUACCGCAUAAGACCACAGUACUGCAUGGUACAGUGGUAAAAACUCCGGGGGUAUGAGAUGGACCCGCGUCUGAUUAGGUAGUUGGUGAGGUAACGGCCCACCAAGCCGACGAUCAGUAGCCGACCUGAGAGGGUGACCGGCCACAUUGGGACUGAGACACGGCCCAG